CCUACGGGUGGCACCAGUGGGGAAUAUUACACAAUGGGCGCAAGCCUGAUCCAGCAAUGCCGCGUGUGUGAAGAAGGCCUUCGGGUUGUAAAGCACUUUUAUCAGGAACGAAAUACCACGGGUUAAUACCCUAUGGGCCUGACGGUACCUGAGGAAUAAGCACCGGCUAACUUCGUGCCAGCAGCCGCGGUAAUAUGAAGGGUGCAAGCGUUAAUCGGAAUUACUGGGCGUAAAGCGUGCGUAGGCGGUUUGUUAAGUCUGCUGUGAAAGCCCUGGGCUCAACCUGGGAAUGGCAGUGGAAACUGGCGAGCUAGAGUGUGAUAGAGGAUGGUGGAAUUCCCGGUGUAGCGGUGAAAUGCGUAGAGAUCGGGAGGAACAUCAGUGGCGAAGGCGGCCAUCUGGAUCGACACUGACGCUGAGGCACGAAAGCGUGGGGGGCAAACAGGAUUAGAUACCCCCGUAGUC
rnacentral:rRNA from 1 species